GAAAUGCGAUACGCAAUGCGAAUUGCAGAAUUCCGCGAAUCAUCAGAUUCUUGAACGCAACUGGCGCUGGAGGGAUAUCCUUCCAGCAUGUCUGUUUCAGUGUCUGAAAACUUCCAAAUCAUUCUAAUGUGUUUGACAAGGAGUGGUCUUUUAUAGAUCAUAUUUCCAAGUCUUACAUGAAAGAUGUAUGUGUGGGUCUUUGGAUCCAUCGAAUUGGUCAUCGAUUCUUCGGUGAUUUCGAUAGGAUGUCACCAAUUACUCGUAUACACAUAGAAAAUUAUAUACUUUAUCAUCUGCAUCUGAAAUCAGACAAGAAAACCCGCUGAACUUAA
rnacentral:misc_RNA from 1 species